UCUCCGUUGGUGAACCAGCGGAGGGAUCAUUGCUGGAAGCGUCUCACGGCGCACCCAGAAACCCUAUGUGAACUUAUAAGAACCCAUCGUUGCCUCGGCAAGGCCGGGGGACAUCACGUCCCCCCCGCGCCUCCCGGUCCGCCGGGAAGAGCGGAGCAGGUCUGCCGGCGGCCCUUCUAUAAACUCUUGUUUACCUUACGUAUUACCUCUGAGUAUAUAACAAAACAAAUGAAUCAAAACUUUCAACAACGGAUCUCUUGGUUCUGGCAUCGAUGAAGAACGCAGC
rnacentral:misc_RNA from 1 species